UCGAGAAUUUUUCUCAAUGGGGGAAACCCUGAAGGAGCGACGCCGCGUGGAGGAUGAAGGUCUUCGGAUUGUAAACUCCUGUCAUUUGGGAACAAAACUUCGGUUUAACUGACUGAAGCUUGAUAGUACUAGAAGAGGAAGAGACGGCUAACUCUGUGCCAGCAGCCGCGGUAAUACAGAGGUCUCAACCGUUGUUCGGAUUCAUUGGGCGUAAAGGGUGCGUAGGCGGUCGUGUAAGUCGGAUGUGAAAUCCCGGGGCUCAACCCCGGAACUGCAUUCGAUACUGCAUGGCUAGGGUACUGGAGAGGAGACUGGAAUUUACGGUGUAGCAGUGAAAUGCGUAGAUAUCGUAAGGAAGACCAGUGGCGAAGGCGAGUCUCUGGACAGUUACCGACGCUGA
rnacentral:rRNA from 1 species